rnacentral:rRNA from 1 species
UCAAGAGUACGUGAAACCGUUCAGGGGUAAACCUGAGAAACCCAAAAGAUCGAAUGGGGAGAUUCAUCGUCAGCGGAGUUGGCUUUCGUGUGGAUGGCGAUGGCCGGGACUUGGUUCCGUGUUACGCGCACUGCGGUAUGCCCGGCGACGUCGGCGUGCACUUCUCCCCUAGUAGGACGUCGCGACCCGUUGGGUGUCGCCGAUGGCUGGUUUGGUCGACUGUCUCGUCACUUAUGUGCACGGGGCAGACCAAUGCCGAGUGUCCGGCUGCUCGGCGGUAUAGAACGCUGACGGUAAUGGGCCGCAUAAGUGCGUAGGCCCGUCGGCAGGCUCGUCUCUCUCGGAUACGGACUUAGCGCCGUUGCCGGGUGCUUGGCGUGGCCUUAGUCGUCGGUGUCCUCGGACGGCUCCAAAUUCGUAAGGAUUUACCGCUCGGCGACGCUACGCCUGAGACAACUGCGGUAAGAC